AAUAAAGAUGGGAUACAAAUAUUCAUGAGUCAUAAUCUUUCAAAACAGGAAGAAAGAUGAGAGCAAAGGACUUUGAGACUGUUCUUCAUAAACAUGAUAGAAAGAUUGCAGUAAUGACAUUAAGAAGGAACUGGGAUCAAAAAAUAAGAAAUAUAGGAGGCAGAAAAGGAUCAGAGAUUGCAUAAAAAUAUUCAUUGGAGAGAAACUUUCCAGAUAGGAAGAAAGAUAAGAGCAACGGAAGAGGAGGCUGAUCUUAAUAUACAUAACACCAUGGUUGCAGUAAUGACAUAAAGAAGGGACAAAUUGCUUUGGAAAGAGGCAAAAUGACAGCUUUGGAAGAAUGAAAUCAUUCCUUAUUGUAAUACUGUAGAAAAGUACUUCAUUUCACCCCUAUCCUAUGUUAAUAUACAUAGGCCUGCUGGAAAGUGUUGUUUUCGAUACAAAUUAAUGAAUAAAUAAUUUUCAAAUAAUAAACAGCUUUCCAUUACACAGUCAGCUUCAAUACACAGACAUUCUUCCAUUUUCCCUCCAAAAAAGGUAUAAAAGUACUUUCACCAAACUGUCACUUUAGAUUAGGAUAGAUUCCACACGGACUGCUAGGUUGGUGUUGUUCAAAUCGGAUGGACUGCUGGCAUGUCUAUUCUCGCGUUUCCGACUUCUUUAUGCAUCUAUUAUUCUUAAUCUCUUUUAAGCUUUUGCCCCCUUGCCAUGGGGUCCGGGGGCGCGGAGAGGCCCCCGGC